AAACCCUUCCUCCUGCAGUAGGGAACAGCCUUACUGCACUGCUACACACUGAUCUGCCAUUCUGUGCUAUUACAGCCAGUAUGAUUCACCUCAGGGAUUUCUCUAAAUGAAGCAUGGGAGUGUAAGGGAGACAUGCAGCUCUCUACCUGUGAUAAGGAACCAAAUGAAGUCAACAAUGACAAGAACUCAAAUCCUGCUCUAAGCUGGGCUCUUCACAGAUGCCUAUCAACUGCUGAAUAAAUUUGCUGCUGAGGCCCCAAGGAUGCCUCUCACUGAAGCAGAAUAUUAUCAAACAGGAAUGAGUGCUUUGCUUUCUCAAAAUCCCAAACAACUCAAAGAAGAAAACCUGAAGCUUAUUUACAAGCAUCACUUGUGCACUCUCAGCCAUGAGUAACAGAUUUCCAUUAACACUCUGAAAGAGUAUUUGAUUUUUACAGACAAGCUACAGGCUAUGCUUAACUUUGGAUACAGCCAAUGACCAAGCUUCAGUGAUUAAUUUU